UUUACACAAGGUGGCUAGCGGCGUGGUGAGAGUUUACACAAGGUGGCUAGCGGGGCAAGUCAAGUAAUGUGGUGGCUCGACUUGUUGUUUGGGUAAUGGUGGAUGGGAUAGUGGCAGAAACAAACAAACAACAACGGCGCGAUUGAACUACGACCACGAAUCAUAACCUAAAUCAGCAACAAGACUUGACCACAAACACGAACUCAACAAAGCGAAUCUGAAACGAAAAUUGCAAAGGCUAAAAAGGUGAUAGGAUAGCGGAAAGUGUAAAUAUUUCUGCGCUUUUUUGUGGACUAUAGGUGAUGAACACGAACUGAAUCUAAAGGGGAAACAUGAUAGUAUACCUCACGGCUAACCUGGAAUCCUUAUACCACUUGAUGUAGCACUGGCCUGAUCUUCCGAUAGGUAUAGAUAAACUCGAUUUGGUGGAGACUCGACAUUGACGAUACGGCUUCAAAUUAAACACGAUCCGAACCGUGCAACCGCUACACCGCUGCUCCGUUGGUUAUCAACCAAGCACAACUUGAUUGACCUCGCCGAAAAGGCUUUCCUUGCAAGUGAAUCGAAGAACACAAGCAAGAGAACGGUAAACACGCAAUAUGAAAUUGCAAAUAUGGAUGAAGCAAAGAUUAAUAUGGGGUUCAAGCUCUCGAUUCGAAUGGACUAAUCGUCAUAGGCGAGGAGAACAAAAACAGGGGCC
rnacentral:lncRNA from 1 species